ensembl:lncRNA atypical chemokine receptor 4-like
AUGAGUCACAGUAAACAGACUCUGUUCUCACAGGAAGAGCAGACAGAAACAAUCUACUCUGCCUUCAGGCAAAACCCUGAAUCUUUCAAGAGCUUUAGAAGAAGAAUGGAGACCUCAGAGGAACACUAUUACGACUACCCCGAGUAUGAAAACAACAGCUCCAACUUCAGCUACGAUGACUAUCAGACCAUCUGUGAGAAGGGCGACGUGCGCUCCUUCGCGAGGAUCUUCCUCCCAGCUGUUUUUGUGUUAUCUCUAGUGAUUGGUUUAGCAGGCAACGCUCUGGUUGUGGCGGUGUAUGCAUACUGCAAGCAACUGAAAACGAUGACUGACACGUUUAUACUUCACCUGGCUGUGGCCGACCUUUUGCUGCUCCUAACGUUGCCCUUCUGGGCUGCCGAUGCCGUCCACGGGUGGGAGCUCGGGGUCACCGUCUGUAAACUCGUAUCUGCCCUGUACACCAUCAACUUCACCUGUAGCAUGAUGCUGCUGGCCCACAUCAGCAUGGAUCAGUACUUGGCUUUGACACCAGGAGCCAGAAACACAGGCAUUAUGCGUGCUUUUCAAAAGAAGCAUUGUGUAAAACUCUGUUUGGUUGUCUGGACCAUUGCGUUUUUUCUUGGCGUCCCUGAUUUGGUGUUUUCAACAGUCAGAGAGCUUCCUCAUAAAAAAAGCUGCAUCGCAAUGUAUCAAUCGGACAUGGCGCUCAGGGCUAAAGCUAGUUUGGAAGUGGUGGAGGUCGUAAUAGGCUUCUUGCUACCUUUAUUAGUGAUGUUGUUCUGCUACACUUGUGUAGGCCGAACCCUACUGAAGCUCCCUCAGGAGAGGAGGUGGAGGAAGUGGAGGUCCAUCCGUGUGCUGCUGGCGAUGGUGGGCGUCUUUGUGGUCACGCAGCUGCCCUAUAAUGUGGUCAAGUUCUGCCGGGCUAUGGACGUCAUGUACACGUUUGUGACUCACUGCGGGGUUAGUAAAGAGCUGGACAAGGCUACUCAGGUCACAGAGAGCCUGGCAUUGACACACUGCUGUCUAAAUCCUGUUCUGUACACUUUCGUCGGCUCCUCCUUCAGACAGCAUGUAUUGAAGUGUGCCAAAGACUUUGGAGAAAGGGGAAGGAGGUUGGCACGUAUGAGAGAGCAACAAGAAGUGGAUAUCUCGUUGAAUUCUCAUUCACAGUCCCAAGAGACCAGCACUUUUUCCAUCUGAGCAAAAUGAAGAGCAUAUGUUUACUAGCCUGUGGAGCUAUGCACAAUCUGCUCCUUUGCAAAAUAUGUACACAUUUACAGGGAAAAAUUAGUGAAAACAUAAGGCAGUAUUUUGACCAGAACAGUAAAAUUCUAACUGAAAUAAAAGCUAAGAUGCAAGAUGUCGAUAGUUGGGUUUAUACGAAACAAAUGGGAAAAGAACAAGUCCGCGGAGUGAUACGAGAGAUACAGAUGCAAGAUAUCUCUUGUGCAUAAUAUUUAACAAGAUUUUCUUAACUCUACAUUUACAAAAUUAUGAAUAAAGAAGAGUUUCUACUCAUAGGCUAAUUAUGACUUUGUGUGUAACGUUAUGACUUUGUGACGUUCAUGUUCGUUUAAUAAAUACAACCUUUCCCACAUGACUUGAAAACACCUUGAUAAACAUCAUUGCCAAAGAGAACAGUGAAUAUAGGCUAAUGGUAUGUUCAAGUCCUCCUGAAGUUCGUAUUUACGAGUUGGCAUGUCCGUCAGGUGCCUUCAAGUUACUUUGGUCAGAUGGCGAUGCAUCUUUUCUAUUGUCAGGGCCGUCCUUAGAGGGGUACAACUGGUGCGGUCGCACCAGGCCCCCGCGCUUGAGGGGGCCCCACGGCGAACGGCCAACCACUCCCACCCCCCACAGAACGCGAUUGCGAAUGGACCGAGGGGUGCCCCGCUCCCUACCUCGCACCAGGCCCCGCGUCAGCUACGGACGGCCCUGUCUAUUGUAAUAAUUUUUUUUUUUAAAUAAUAAUAAUAAUAAAUAAAC